ensembl:lncRNA
AUGAGGCUGGGAUGGGCCCCGAGUGGGGUCGACGGGGCAGACGCCUGGGGAAGCUUCCUCCGGGGCCGCAUCUCAUCAGCCUUCCCUUUCGUGUUUCCUCCGUGUGUACAGACUAACGUGUGUGAGAAGGCACGCAGCAGAGCUUGCCAUCUCCCAUCCUUCCCUUUGGCAACGUGUGUGGGCUGCCGGCUCACCUGUAACCCAGAAGACCUGCUGGUAAUGGAUACACAGAUGAAUGGAUGGACCGAGACAUGGACAGAAACACAGCAAGACAGGUGCAGGCCCGAGGCAGGUGCUCAGUUUCACGGGGAGGCGAGGGCACUGGACAGACACGUUUGGACACUGUUUGAACAGUUCACCGGUAAACACAGCUACGAGUGAGGUCACAGCUCAGGACCUGGGUCUUGCGUCUCUCGCUCUUCUUGCCCGUGGCAUCCUCUGAGGCCCAGCCUAAACGCCAGCUCACCCCGACGCCUCCAAUCAGGUCCAAUCACUGGCUCUCAGCCCCUCCGUGAUGCACCUCCUAGACGUUUAUUAAAGCGUUUAUUUCACCCAGCCUUGCAUGAGAGUCAGUAAUUAACCUGCCUGUCUCCCCUAAAUGAUAGAUUUCUCGAGGGAGAGAACUGUGUGUUAUUCAUCGCAGCGCCUCGCAUGGAGUGGCUGACUGAGCAAAUAUUUGCUGGGGGAUGAAUAACUCAGGGGAUCCCCCGGAGGGCUCACACCCGGGCGCCUGGUUCUGAAGCUGAGUCCGUGGCUGGGUGCUCUCUAGGAUGGACUGGGACGCCCGGGUUCUAUCAGUGCCCGCCUCUGGCUUGACUGUGGGAUGCCAUGGACACUGAGUCCCGGGGCGUACUCUAUCCAACCCUGGGGCUGUGGGCCGGCAGGCUCCCUUUGAUCCGCUGAGUCCUGUCCCAGGGAACGGCCGUCCGAUUUCCGUCAUGAAGGUGGAACACUCAUAUUCCUGCACUGCACUUUCCCAG